UACGGAAUGUGCAAACGUUAUUCGGAAUUACUGGGCUUAAAGAGUCCGUAGGCGGCUUGUUAGGUGAGGUGUGAAAUCCCCCGGCUCAACCGAGGAAUUGCGCUUCAAACCGGCGAGCUUGAGGAAGAUAGAGGUGGGCGGAACUGAUGGUGGAGCGGUGAAAUGCGUUGAGAUCAUCAGGAACACCGGAGGCGAAAGCGGCCCACUGGGUCUUUUCUGACGAUGAGGGACGAAAGCUAGGGGAGCGAACGGG
rnacentral:rRNA from 1 species